GACGAACGCUGGCGGCGUGCUUAACACAUGCAAGUCGAACGAAGAGCGAUGGAAGCUUGCUUCUAUCAAUCUUAGUGGCGAACGGGUGAGUAACGCGUAAUCAACCUGCCCUUCAGAGGGGGACAACAGUUGGAAACGACUGCUAAUACCGCAUACGAUCUAACCUCGGCAUCGAGGAUAGAUGAAAGGUGGCCUCUACAUGUAAGCUAUCACUGAAGGAGGGGAUUGCGUCUGAUUAGCUAGUUGGAGGGGUAACGGCCCACCAAGGCGAUGAUCAGUAGCCGGUCUGAGAGGAUGAACGGCCACAUUGGGACUGAGACACGGCCCAGACUCCUACGGGAGGCAGCAGUGGGGAAUCUUCCGCAAUGGACGAAAGUCUGACGGAGCAACGCCGCGGGAGUGAUGACGGCCUUCGGGUUGUAAAGCUCUGUUAAUCGGGACGAAAGGCCUUCUUGCGAAUAGUUAGAAGGAUUGACGGUACCGGAAUAGAAAGCCACGGCUAACUACGUG
rnacentral:rRNA from 1 species